rnacentral:rRNA from 1 species
AGAGUUUGAUCAUGGCUCAGAACGAACGCUGGCGGCGUGCUUAACACAUGCAAGUCGAGUGCGCGGUUGUAGCAAUACAACUGGCGCACGGCGCACGGGUGCGUAACACGUGGGUAACCUGCCCUUUGGUGGGGAAUAACUCCGCGAAAGCGGAGCUAAUUCCGCAUAAGAUCCGCAGGGAUGAAAGCCGCAAGGCGCCGAAGGAGGGGCCCGCGCCCGAUUAGCUAGUUGGUGAGGUAAUGGCUCACCAAGGCUAUGAUCGUUAGCUGGUCUGAGAGGAUGGCCAGCCACACUGGAACUGAGACACGGUCCAGACUCCUACGGGAGGCAGCAGUGGGGAAUCUUGCACAAUGGGCGAAAGCCUGAUGCAGCGACGCCGCGUGGGGGAUGAAGCUUCUCGGAGUGUAAACCCCUUUCGACCCGGACGAAUACCUCGCAAGAGGGGUGACGGUACGGGUAUAAGAAGCCCCGGCUAACUACGUGCCAGCAGCCGCGGUAAGACGUAGGGGGCCAGCGUUGUUCGGAAUUACUGGGUGUAAAGGGUUCGUAGGCGGUGUGGCAAGUCGGGAGUGAAAUCUCUGGGCUCAACUCAGAGUCUGCUUCCGAAACUGCUGUGCUUGAGUGUGGGAGAGGCGCGUGGAAUUGCAGGUGUAGCGGUGAAAUGCGUAGAUAUCUGCAGGAACACCCGUGGCGAAAGCGGCGCGCUGGACCACUACUGACGCUGAGGAACGAAAGCUAGGGGAGCAAACAGGAUUAGAUACCCUAGUAGUCC